GACGAACGCUGGCGGCGUGCUUAACACAUGCAAGUCGAACGGAAAGGCCCUGCUUUUGUGGGUGCUCGAGUGGCGAACGGGUGAGUAACACGUGAGUAACCUGCCCUUGACUUUGGGAUAACUUCAGGAAACUGGGGCUAAUACCGGAUAGGAGCUCCUGCUGCAUGGUGGGGGUUGGAAAGUUUCGGCGGUUGGGGAUGGACUCGCGGCUUAUCAGCUUGUUGGUGGGGUAGUGGCUUACCAAGGCUUUGACGGGUAGCCGGCCUGAGAGGGUGACCGGCCACAUUGGGACUGAGAUACGGCCCAGACUCCUACGGGAGGCAGCAGUGGGGAAUAUUGCACAAUGGGCGGAAGCCUGAUGCAGCAACGCCGCGUGCGGGAUGACGACCUUCGGGUUGUAAACCGCUUUCGCCUGUGACGAAGCGUGAGUGACGGUAAUGGGUAAAGAAGCACCGGCUAACUACGUG
rnacentral:rRNA from 1 species